UAGACAUGACAUGAUAUUUGCAUGUACAUGUACGUAUAAAUUAGAUUUAUAAUAGUUUACCCUUAAAUAUCUCAUUACGUUUUCUUUGCAUGUUCUCUGAAUGAUGAGGGAGACUAUUUUAUCUGUUAUUCUACGAUUUUAAUUUCUGAAGUACAGAAAAGACUUGUUUAUUUUAUGAUGAAAUCAUAUUUUGUAAAUCUUUUUAUAGCAUUUAUAAAGGACUCUACAACAUGUAAACAUGUCAGAAAACAUAUGUCGAUAUUACUUUGUUUUACGUUCGUAGGAGUAGGGAACCAGCCAUGAUUGUGUACGUACGUCUCAUGAAGCGUACUCUCCCUAAAUAUUUGACAUGUAGACUUAGAGAAGUUAUGACGCCAAAAAAUGGGUCCAAGAUGAUCAUCAGGCUGUGGUAGGUGACCCUGCUACUGUGACUUAUGAAUCUGAUGUCCAUGAUGACCAUCAUAGCCCAGACCUUGACGUAGGUGGACCAGGGACCGACACUAAGGAGUGCAACAACAGUAACGCCGGACAACAUACGACACCAUACGACAACUCACUCUGUAUAUACCCCUCGAGGUGGCACCACGUCUCGCCCAGCACCCACAGCGGAUGCGUGUCCCGGAUGGUGAAGGGGAUCGGCCCCGCCAGUGAAGUGAUGAGGUCCGCUAUCGACAUGUUAAGGAUGAAGUGAUUGACAGACGUCCUGAGGAGCAGUUUGUUCUUCAGCAGAAGGAUGAUAAUGCAGAGGUUUCCCGACGCCCCCACGAGCAUGAUUAGGGAGGCGAAGGUGUACCUGACGCCGAGUUCCCAUGGUUCGGGGUAGGUGAGGUUUGUCCGCUCCGUGAAGUUGAAGUCUCCGAAGCAAAUGGUUUUGUUGUCACUGUAGAUGCAACACGUUUCAUUGCAGCUGAGUUUGGUGAUGUCUUCGGUUAGAUUGGGGGUUCCCAUCGUGUUUGGAAGGGGGUGUCACGGUUCUGGCACCACAAACAUUUCUCGAACUACAAAUAUAUACUGUUAAUUUAUUUUUAUUUUGUUUUUUUGUCUAUUUUGGAUUGCGAUUUCUCUUUUUUUAGUUCCUAGGUCCACGUUGGUACUCGCGCCAUCUUUCUUCGUUUGUCAGGAAAGCAGUCUAGUAUCACAAAUGUUCCUGUCUUCUGUCUUUGUCAAAUGUAUAUAAAAAAUAAAAUUCUGUGAAGUUGU
rnacentral:misc_RNA from 1 species